AGUGAACGCUGGCGGUAGGCCUAACACAUGCAAGUCGAACGGCAGCACAGUAAGAGCUUGCUCUUACGGGUGGCGAGUGGCGGACGGGUGAGGAAUACAUCGGAAUCUACUUUUUCGUGGGGGAUAACGUAGGGAAACUUACGCUAAUACCGCAUACGACCUACGGGUGAAAGCAGGGGAUCUUCGGACCUUGCGCGAUUGAAUGAGCCGAUGUCGGAUUAGCUAGUUGGCGGGGUAAAGGCCAACCAAGGCGACGAUCCGUAGCUGGUCUGAGAGGAUGAUCGGCCACACUGGAACUUGAACACGGUCCAUACUCCUACGGGAGGCAGCAGUGGGGAAUAUUGGACAAUGGGCGCAAGCCUGAUCCAGCCAUACCGCGUGGGUGAAGAAGGCCUUCGGGUUGUAAAGCCCUUUUGUUGGGAAAGAAAAGCAGCAGGUUAAUACCCCGCUGUUCUGACGGUACCCAAAGAAUAAGCACCGGCUAACUUCGUG
rnacentral:rRNA from 1 species